AUUGAACGCUGGCGGCAGGCUUAACACAUGCAAGUCGAGCGGAGAUGAGGUGCUUGCACCUUAUCUUAGCGGCGGACGGGUGAGUAAUGCUUAGGAAUCUGCCUAUUAGUGGGGGACAACAUUCCGAAAGAAAUGCUAAUACCGCAUACGCCCUACGGGGGAAAGCAGGGGAUCUUCGGACCUUGCGCUAAUAGAUGAGCCUAAGUCGGAUUAGCUAGUUGGUGGGGUAAAGGCCUACCAAGGCGACGAUCUGUAGCGGGUCUGAGAGGAUGAUCCGCCACACUGGGACUGAGACACGGCCCAGACUCCUACGGGAGGCAGCAGUGGGGAAUAUUGGACAAUGGGCAGAAGCCUGAUCCAGCCAUGCCGCGUGUGUGAAGAAGGCCUUUUGGUUGUAAAGCACUUUAAGCGAGGAGGAGGCUACCUGGAUUAAUACUCUGGGAUAGUGGACGUUACUCGCAGAAUAAGCACCGGCUAACUCUGUGCCAGCCGCCGCAGUAAAAC
rnacentral:rRNA from 1 species